GCCGAAAGACCAAGGGUUCCAGUCCAACGUUAAUCGGGGCUGGGUGAGUCGACCCCUAAGGCGAGGCCGAAAGGCGUAGUCGAUGGGAAAAUGGUUAAUAUUCCAUUACUUCUGUGUAAUGCGAUGAGAGGACGGAGAAGGCUAAAUCAGCCUGGCGUUGGUUGUCCAGGUGAAAGGAUGUAGGCAUGUAUCUUAGGCAAAUCCGGGGUACUCUAUGCUGAGAUCUGAUAGCAAGCUGUACUUGUACAGCGAAGUGGUUGAUGCCAUGCUUCCAGGAAAAGUCUCUAAGCUUCAGUUACACAGGAAUCGUACCCGAAACCGACACAGGUGGUCAGGUCGAGUAGACCAAGGCGCUUGAGAGAACUCUGCUGAAGGAACUAGGCAAAAUGGUACCGUAACUUCGGGAGAAGGUACGCUGUUGUUGGUGAUGGAACUCGCUUCCUGAGCUGACGACAGCCGCAGAAACCAGGCCGCUGCAACUGUUUAUUAAAAACAUAGCACUCUGCAAACACGAAAGUGGACGUAUAGGGUGUGAUGCCUGCCCGGUGCUGGAAGGUUAAUUGAUGGGGUUAGCGUAAGCGAAGCUCUUGAUCGAAGCCCCAGUAAACGGCGGCCGUAACUAUAACGGUCCUAAGGUAGCGAAAUUCCUUGUCGGGUAAGUUCCGACCUGCACGAAUGGCAUAAUGAUGGCGGCGCUGUCUCCAGCAGAGGCUCAGUGAAAUCGAAAUCGCUGUGAAGAUGCAGUGUACCCGCGGCUAGACGGAAAGACCCCGUGAACCUUUACUGCAGCUUGACACUGAACUUUGACCUUACUUGUGUAGGAUAGGUGGGAGGCUUUGAAGCUGGAACGCUAGUUCCAGUGGAGCCGUCCUUGAAAUACCACCCUGGUAAUGUUGAGGUUCUAACUCUGUCCCGUGAUCCGGGACGAGGACCGUGUCUGGUGGGUAGUUUGACUGGGGCGGUCUCCUCCUAAAGAGUAACGGAGGAGUACGAAGGUGCGCUCAGCGUGGUCGGAAAUCACGCGUAGAGUAUAAAGGCAAAAGCGCGCUUAACUGCGAGACCCACAAGUCGAGCAGGUACGAAAGUAGGUCUUAGUGAUCCGGUGGUUCUGUAUGGAAGGGCCAUCGCUCAACGGAUAAAAGGUACUCUGGGGAUAACAGGCUGAUACCGCCCAAGAGUUCAUAUCGACGGCGGUGUUUGGCACCUCGAUGUCGGCUCAUCUCAUCCUGGGGCUGAAGCAGGUCCCAAGGGUAUGGCUGUUCGCCAUUUAAAGAGGUACGCGAGCUGGGUUUAGAACGUCGUGAGACAGUUCGGUCCCUAUCUACCGUGGGCGCUGGAAAUUUGAGAGGAUCUGCUCCUAGUACGAGAGGACCAGAGUGGACGAACCUCUGGUGUACCGGUUGUGACGCCAGUCGCAUCGCCGGGUAGCUAUGUUCGGAAGGGAUAACCGCUGAAAGCAUCUAAGCGGGAAGCCUACCUCAAGAUAAGAUUUCCCUAGGACUUUAUGUCCUCUAAAGAGCCGUUCGAGACUAGGACGUUGAUAGGUUGGAUGUGGAAGCAUAGUGAUAUGUGAAGCUGACCAAUACUAAUUGCUCGUGAGGCUUGACUAU
rnacentral:rRNA from 1 species